CGCGUAGGCGGUCUUGUAAGUCAGAUGUGAAAGCCCGGGGCUCAACCCCGGAAGUGCAUUUGAGACUGCGAGACUUGAGUAUGGGAGGGGGAAGUGGAAUUCCUGGUGUAGAGGUGAAAUUCGUAGAUAUCAGGAGGAACACCAGUGGCGAAGGCGACUUCCUGGACCAAUACUGACGCUGAUGCGCGAAGGCGUGGGGAGCAAACA
rnacentral:rRNA from 1 species